AUUGAACGCUGGCGGCAGGCCUAACACAUGCAAGUCGAACGAGUGGCGGACGGGUGAGUAAUGUCUGGGAAACUGCCCGAUGGAGGGGGAUAACUACUGGAAACGGUAGCUAAUACCGCAUACCAUCGGAUGUGCCCAGAUGGGAUUAGCUAGUAGGUGGGGUAACGGCUCACCUAGGCGACGAUCCCUAGCUGGUCUGAGAGGAUGACAAGCCACACUGGAAAGGAGACACGGUCCAGACUCCUACGGGAGGCAGCAGUGGGGAAUAUUGCAAAAUGGGCGCAAGGCUGAUGCAGCCAUGCCGCGGGUAUGAAGAAGGCCUUCGGGUUGUAAAGUCCUUUCAGCGGGGAGGCGUUACUCGCAGAAGAAGCACCGGCUAACUCCGUGCCAGCAGCCGCGGUAAUUG
rnacentral:rRNA from 1 species